GAGCUCACUUUGGCAGCACAUAUACUAAAAUUGGAACAAUUCAGAGAAGAUUAGCAUGGCUUCUGAGCAAGGAUGACAUGCAAAUUUGAGGCAUUUCAUAUUUUG
ensembl:snRNA U6 U6 spliceosomal RNA